AUGAAAACCAGCCCAGCCCUCACCCUUACAGCUCUGCAGAGGAUGCUAACCCUUGCACCCAGAUGUUCCCACUUUGUGAUCGGCACUGAGCACAGGUUCACUGUGGAGUGGGUGCUGAGCUGGAUUUUGCUUCUUGCUACUUUAAAAGGUGUCCUGUGUGAGGAGCAACUGGUGGAAUCCAGGAGAGGCUUGGUGCAGCCUGUAGGGUUCCUGAGACUCUCCUGUGUGGCCUCAGGAUUCACCUUCAGUAGCUAUGGGAUGAGCUUGAUCUGCCAGGCCCCAAAGAAGGGCCUGGAGUGCAUCUCAUGGAUUAGGUAUGAUGGUGGUAGCACAAACUACGCAGAGUCCAUGAAGGGCCAACUCACCAUCUCCAGGGACAAUGGUAAGAACACGCUGUAUCUGCAGAUGAGCAGCCUGAGAGCUGAGGACAUGGCUGUGUAUUAG